GCCCUGUAAGCGAUGGGGUGACGCAGGAAGGUAGUCCAGCCCAGGCGAUGGUUGUCCUGGGGUAAGCAUGUAGGGCGGAACGUAGGUAAAUCCGCGUUCUAUUCAGCCUGAGAUGUGAUGCCGAGCCGACUGUGGUGAAGUGGAUGAUCCUAUGCUGCCGAGAAAAGCCUCUAGUGAGUGUUGUGGCGGCCCGUACCCUAAACCGACUCAGGUGGUCAGGUAGAGAAUACCAAGGCGAUCGGGUGAACUGUGGUUAAGGAACUCGGCAAAUUGCCCCCGUAACCUCGGGAGAAGGGGGACCUCUGCUGGUGAUGGGCUUUACGUUCUGAGCUGGUGGGGGUCGCAGUGGCCAGGGGGAAGCGACUGUUUACUAAAAACACAGUCCGUGCGAAGUCGUAAGACGAUGUAUACGGACUGACGCCUGCCCGGUGCCGGAACGUUAAGGGGACCGCUUAGCCAACGCGAGUUGGCGAAGGUGAGAACUUAAGCGCCGGUAAAACGGCGGUGGUAACUAUAACCAUCCUAAGGUAGCGAAAUUCCUUGUCGGGUAAGUUCCGACCUGCACGAAUGGCGUAACGACUUCCCCGCUGUCUCAACCACAGACCCGGCGAAAUUGCACUACGAGUAAAGAUGCUCGUUUCGCGCAGCAGGACGGAAAGACCCCGGGACCUUCACUACAGCUUGACAUUGGCGUUUGGAACGUCUUGUGUAGGAUAGGUGGGAGACUGGGAAGCUGUCACGCUAGUGAUGGUGGAGUCAUUGGUGAAAUACCACUCUGGUCGUUUUGAACGUCUAACUCUGGUCCGUGAUCCGGAUCGGGGACAGUGUCUGGUGGGUAGUUUAACUGGGGCGGUUGCCUCCUAAAGAGUAACGGAGGCGCCCAAAGGUUCCCUCAGCCUGGUUGGCAAUCAGGUGUUGAGUGUAAGUGCACAAGGGAGCUUGACUGUGAGACUGACAGGUCGAGCAGGAGCGAAAGCUGGGACUAGUGAUCCGGCAUCGGCGUGUGGAAGCGGUGUCGCUCAACGGCUAAAAGGUACCCGGGGAUAACAGGCUGAUCUUCCCCAAGAGUCCAUAUCGACGGGAUGGUUUGGCACCUCGAUGUCGGCUCGUCGCAUCCUGGGGCUGGAGUAGGUCCCAAAGGGUUGGGCUGUUCACCCAUUAAAGCGGUACGCGAGCUGGGUUUAGAACGUCGCGAGACAGUUCGGUCCCUAUCCGCUGCGCGCGCAGGAGACUUGAAGGGGGCUGUCCCUAGUACGAGAGGACCGGGACGGACGAACCUCUGGUGUGCCAGUUGUACCGCCAGGUGCACGGCUGGUUGGCUACGUUCGGAAGGGAUAACCGCUGAAAGCAUCUAAGCGGGAAGCUCGCCUUGAGAUGAGGUCUCCCACCCCGUGAGGGGGUAAGGCUCCCGGUAGAUCACCGGGUUGAUAGGCCGGAGGUGGAAGCACGGUAACGUGUGGAGCUGACCGGUACUAAUAGGCCGAGGACUUGACC
rnacentral:rRNA from 1 species